rnacentral:rRNA from 1 species
GAUGAACGCUGGCGGCGUGCUUAACACAUGCAAGUCGAACGGAAAGGCCCUGCUUUUGUGGGUUUCUCGAGUGGCGAACGGGUGAGUAACACGUGAGUAUCCUGCCCUUGUCUUUGUGAUAACUUCACGAAACUGGGGCUAAUACCGGAUAGGAGCUCCUGCUGCGUGGUGGGCGUUGGAAAGUUUCGGCGUUUGGGGCUGGACUCGCGGCUUAUCAGCUUGUUGGUGUGGUAGUGGCUUACCAAGGCUUUGACGGGUAGCCGGCCUGAGAGGGGGACCAGGCACAAGGGGACUGAGAGACGGACCAGAAGGCAAAGGGAGGCAAUGGGGGGGAAUAUGACGGAACAGGGGGGAGCCUGAUGCAGCGACGCUGGGAGCGGGAUGACGGCCUUCGGGUUGUAAACAGCUUUCGCAGGUAACGAAGCGUGAGUGACGGUAAUGGGUAAAGAAGCAACGGCUAACUACGUG